rnacentral:rRNA from 1 species
GCUACGGGAGACAGUAGUGAGGAAUAUUGGUCACUGGGCGUAAGCCUGAACCAUCCAAGUCGCGUGAGGGAUGAAGGUUCUAUGGAUCGUAAAUCUCUUUUAUAAGGGAAUAAAGUGCGGGACGUGUCCCGUUUUGUAUGUACCUUAUGAAUAAGGAUCGGCUAACUCCGUGCCAGCAGCCGCGGUAAUACGGAGGAUCCUAUCUUUAUCCUGAUUUAGUGGGUUUAAGUGGUGCGUAGGCUGCCUUUGAAGUUAGCGGUGAAAGUCUGUGGCUCAACCAUAGAAUUGCCGUUGAAACUGGGAGGCUUGAGUAUGUUUGAGGAAGGCGGAAUGCGUGGUGUAGCGGGGAAAUGCUUAGAUAUCACGCAGAACCCCGAUUACGAAGGCAGCCUGCCAAGCCAUGACUGACGCUGAUGCACGAAAGCGUGGGGAUCAAACAGGAUUAGAUACCCCUGUAGUC